GUUUAUACCAUUCCCAUUGCUGGGAGAAGUAAACAUUGAAAUAGAUCUCUUAUAAAGACUUAGCAUUUGAAUUCGUUAUCAUUACUCAAAAAUUUAGUAAUAAUAGUUACAAGAUCGAGAAGAUGCCCAUUGUACAAAAAUGUCUCUAAUAAUCUAUGUUAGACUCCUAAAGUGAGAUCUAUUGUCCCUUGAAGCAAGAAAUUGUAUGUUGGAAAACAUCUUCACUGCAAGGAAUUGUGAGGCCACCCAUCGGAUGAUCAUGUCCAAACUCUUCCUCAGCUUGACUCAAUAAGUCUUGGAAUGAAGGUUGGUUCAAGUAUGAAAUGGAAAUCACAAACCGUUUUUGUUUCUCUCCAACAUACACAGCAAAAUAGCCCUUCGGUAUGUCUUCAGAUUUUGAAGAUGCUUGUCUUGCUGUCACUGAUGCCCGUCGGAUGGAAGGUAAACGGAAACCCAUUUUUUGAGUUUGUUUGAAGAAAGAAGAACAAUCUCAAAUUUACAGAGAAUGAACCUAAAUUUUGAUGCUUGAGGAUUACAAAGGCUUGUGUUGUUUUUGAAGGUAUAGGAUAGUGUAUAUAUAGCUGUUAAAAGAAGGAGGGCAUAGAGAUGAGAUAUCACGUGGUGAUGUUUUCAGUAUUUCUAUAAAGCAUAAAGAAGGGUACAGGAGUGUAACCCCACCUUGUUCAACAACAGGCAACAUUAAGCCUCCACAUGUACCCAAUGAAACGUGGCUAAGUGAAGGCCUAAAUUUCUUCAUGCAUUAAUUGGUAUUACAUAUUUUGCAAAACAUGCUUUGGACAUGUUUUCUUCACUUCACCUAAUGUUGAAGAACAGCUGGAUAGAUGAAAUUAUAAGGAAAUGGACAGCGAGAGAUGAUAGACCAUUAUAUUCAUGAGAUUUGAAAUCAUAAGUCUAAUCUAUUUCAGGUGAAUUGGCUUGAGAUAGUGUACUAUCGACUGUAACAUCUCCCAUUACUCCCUAAGAAACACAUUCAAGGCAACACCAUGUGCCCUUUCUGUUCUAUCGGUCCCAUGACUCUUAUCACAUAGCCCUUCACUCUCAAUCAUUCAAGUAGCCGACGAUAUCCUACAAAAACUUUCAUCUAUAUAUAUAUUCUAGGCUGCAAGCGUUUGGGACAACAAAAAUCAUUUCCUAAACCAUUUUAACUUCACAAACUAUCAUCUUAUUUGCAACUCUCUUUUCUCAACUUUCUCUUCCCAAGUAUCAACAUAUAAAACAUGGGUUUUCAUUUACGUGGUAUCAGAAAGGCAUCCCUUCCUGCAAUCCAAGCCUUUUCAAAAGUUGUGAACGUGCCAAAGGGUUACAUUGCAGUUUAUGUUGGAGAUAAAAUGAAGCGGUUCAUCAUUCCUGUAUCAUACUUGAACCAACCUUCAUUUCAAGAUUUGUUGAGUCAAGCUGAGGAAGAAUUUGGGUAUGAACAUCCAAUGGGUGGUCUCACUAUUCCUUGUGGAGAAGAUGUGUUCUUAGAUAUAACUUCUCGUUUCAAUAGGUGCUAAUUGCGUGAAGAUGAGACUGACUUAGAUGUAGACUAUACUUGACACAGUUUUGUAUCGUAGUUUUAGCCUUGAAAAUAUCCCCUCUUGCCAUUUUUGUUAUUUGUUUAGACAAGUGUAAAAGAAUGUUAAUCUGAAUGAGAAGUUUUCUACAUGAUGUUUCUUAGCACAUUUUCUAUAAAUCUGAUUUAUAUAUCACAUUUUCUCUUUAUCUAUCGAUAAGAUUUAAAUUAAACUAUUAACUCCACAUUUUAUAACAAAAUUAAUUAAAAAAACUACUUAGAAGAGAUAAGAAGAUAAGUUUAAAACAAAACGAGUGAUGUAACAGCAGAGAAAUAAAGCUAAGCAUAUGGCUGACUAAUUCAAUAGUAGUUGGGGUGAGGAGGUUGAGAGAGAUUUGUGUGUAACGUGUGGGGAGCUAACCGAAACAGUGAGCCACUUAUUAUUUAGUUGUAAGUAUGCAAUUCAAGUAUGGAAUUUGUGUAAUAAGUGGGUUGGGAUAACCUCUGUUUCGCAAAAUAUAUUAUAAAUUUGUCCGUCAUAAAUUGAUGCUUUUCGUUGACCAUAGCAAAACAUUUUUCUUUAGCUGUAGGGUGGCUGGUAGGAUCUGGCAAGGGUAGGAAGAUUCUCAGUUUAUCAUAAUAGGGCUUAUGUACACUUUAACCAAUAUGAAAUUAUUGGUAUGAACAACACUGUUAAUAAGAUUUGGAGGAACAUGUGGAUGGCUAUUGUUUGGAGGAUAUGGACUCGUAGAAAUAACAUAAUCUUUAGAGGUGGAAUUUUAGAUUCAGAAGAGGUUUUGCAUUGGCACAGAUCAUGACAUGGGCAUGACAACAGUUGUUUUUCAUAUUCUGAUUGGUGCCUAAAUCCAAUUGGAUGCCUGCAGUCUGUCAAAAAGGGCUAGUCUGUUAAAAAGGGUUGAAAUUAAGUGUUUAGAUAUUGGUACAGGGAUACCUGCAAAUUCUCAGUAAUUGUUACAUCAAUAUACAAGGAGUAAGUCUGCAUGUUAUGACCUUCUAUUUGCUUUGUUUAUGUGUUUCUUUUUAGUGCUCAGGUAUGCAUCUGUAUUGAACACACAGUGCAAAUUAACAUUGGAGUCCACGGGAGAUGAAACAAUUGUUGUUGAAGUUUCUCUCUAACCACAUGACAACCAAUGUCAAUGUGUUUAGUAUGUUUAUGGAAGCUGCUAAUUGUGCUAUAUUUCUUGCAGAUUGACUGUCAUAGAACAGGCUAGCUGCGUUGCAAGGUGCAAUGUGCAGAUCUUCAAGCAAGUAGACGAGCCACUCUAUCUUACUGUAGGUGGAGGCUAAAGCCCGAUACUCCGUUGUAUCUGGAAGUUAUUAAUGACCCAAAGUCGAAAAAGGUAAUGGAGGAAGAGGUGUAUAUGAUUGAGAAGAACAAAACUUGGAAGCUUGUUGACAUACCUCGAGAUUGAAAGGUACAUCAAAUGGAUGUCAAGUCAAUAUUUCUAAAUGGAUUUCUUGAACAAGAAAUUUCAGGUUUCAUUGGGGAAGGAAGAGAAGACAAAGUUUAUAAGUUGUCUAAAACCAUUUAUGGCUUAAAAGAUGUUCCCAGAGCAUGGUAUUAUCUUAUCAGGCUUAGGCUUUGAUAAAAGUCUUUUAAAAGGUGUUGAAUGGAGAUUAAGCAAAGUGAGGAUGAAAAAAAAAAUUGCAUAUUUGUUUACCAAGUCACUUCCAGCCAACAAGUUUGAGUUCUCAAUACAGAAGAUUGAAAUUUGCAGUUCAAAAAAUCAAAGAGGAGUGUUGAAUGUUGUGUUUUUUAACUGCAUAUAAAUGCACAUAAGUGCACGUGAUAUUUUAUUCUUCUGUUUUAAUUAUGUUUUAAUUGCUGAUUUAAUAUUUCUAGGUAUCUGGUCAUAAAAUCAUUUAAGAGUCAGUACUCCAGAUACUGUAAAUGUAAUUGUUAGCACAGAUAAUAAAAUAUCUUCCUCUAAUUUAUUCUUAAAAAAAACCAACAAUCUCAUCCUCUUACAAAAUGGAAACUGUGAUUUGUAGAAUCUAUAUAUGGACAAAAGAAACCUUACAUCAACUGCAUAUGAAAUUUUUAUAACAAAGGAUCUUAUCCAUUGAAAUCAAUGGGUACAACACGGCUUAAUUUUAAGCAUAUUAUAACUGUCUCGGCUGGGGAAAAAUCCGCUAGUGUAAAAAACUAAAAAACCUUUCAAACCCGUUAUGAGUAUAGUGGAGUCUUUUAGGUGUUGUAUACCAUUCCAAUUGCUGGGAGUAGUAAACAUUGAAAUACAUAAAUAGAAAGACUUAGCAUUUGAAUUCGUUAUCAUUACUCAAAAAAUUGGUAAUAAUAGUUACAAGUUCGAGAAGAUGCCUAUUGUACAAAAAUGUCUCUAAUAAUCUAUGUCAGUCUCCUAAAGUGAGAUCUAUUGUCCCUUGAAGCAAGAAAUUGUAUGUUGGAAGACAUCUUCACUACAAGGAAUUGUGAGGCCACCCAUGGGAUGAUCAUAUCCAAACUCUUCCUCCGCUUGACUCAGUAAGUCCUGGAAUGAAGGUUGGUUCAAGUAUGAGAUGGGAAUUACAAACCGAUUUUGUUUCUCUCCAACAUACACGGCAAAAUAGCCCUUUGGUAUGUCUUCAGAUUUUGAAGUUGCUUGUCUUGCUGUGAAUGAUGCCCGUCGGAUGGCAGGUAAACGGAAACCCAUUUUUUGAGUUUGUUUGAAGGAAGAAGAACAAUCUCAAAUUUACAGAGAAUGAACCUAAAUUUUGAUACUUGAGGAUUACAAAGGCUUGUGUUGUUUUUGAAGGUAUAUAGGAUAGUGUAUAUAUAGCUGUUAGAAGAAGGAGAGCAUACAGAUGAGAUAUCGCGUGGUGUUGUCUUCAGUACUUCUAUCAAGCAUAAAGAAGGGUACAAGUGUGUAACCCCACCUUGUUGAACAACGAACAACAUUAAGCCUCCACAUGCACCCAAUGAGAUGUGGCUAAAUGAAGGCCUAAGUCUCUUCAUGCAUUAAUUGGUAUUACAUAUUUUGUAAAACAUGUUUUGGACAUGUUUUCUUCACACUACCUAAAAUUGAAGAACAGCUGGAUAGAUGAAAUUAUAAGGCAAUGGACAGCGAGAGAUGAUAGACCAUUAUAUUCAUGAGAUUUGAAAUCAUACGUCUAAUCUAUUUCAGGUGAAUUGGCUUGGGAUAGUGUACUAUCGACUGUAACAUCUCAUAUUAAUCCCUAAGAAACACUUCCAAGACAACACCAUGUGCCCUUUCUGUCUUAUCGAUCCCAUGACUCUUAUCUCAUAGCCUUCCACCCUCAAUCAUUCAAGUAGCCGAUGAUAUCCUACAAAACAUUUCAUCUAUAUAUAUUCAAGGCUCUAAGCCUUUGGGACAACAAAAAUCAUUUCCUAAACCAUUUUAACUUCUCAAACUUGCAUCUUAUUUGCAGUUCUCUUUUCUCAAUUUUCUCUUCCCAAGUAUCAACAUAUAAAACAUGGGUUUUCAUUUACGUGGUAUCAGAAAGGCAUCCCUUCCUGCAAUCCAAGCCUUUUCAAAAGUUGUGAACGUGCCAAAGGGUUACAUUGCAGUCUAUGUUGGAGAUAAAAUGAAGCGGUUCAUGAUCCCUGUAUCAUACUUGAACCAACCUUCAUUUCAAGAUUUGUUGAGUCAAGCUGAGGAAGAAUUUGGGUAUGACCAUCCAAUGGGUGGUCUCACUAUUCCUUGUGGAGAAGAUGUGUUCUUAGAUAUCACUUCUCGUUUCAAUAGGUGCUAGUUGCAUGAAGAGACUGACUUAGAUGUAGACUCUACUUGACACAUUUUUGUAUCUUAGUUUCUGACCAUCAAAAUAUCUCCUCUCUCUCAAUUUUUGUUAUCUUGUUUAGGCAAGUGUAAAAAAAUGUUAAUCUGAAUGAGAAGUUUUCUACACGAUGUUUCUUCCCAAAUGUUCUAUGAAUCUGAUCUACAUAUCCCAUUUUCUCUUUUUCUAUCAAUCAGAUUUAAAUUAAACUAUUAACUCCACAUUUUCUUACAAAAUUAAUUAGAAAAACUACUUAGAAGAGAUAGAAAGAUAAGUUUAAAAUAAAAUGAGUGAUGUAACAGAGAAAUAAAGCUAAGCAUUGAUGAAAAUUAUAUGCUUUUGUUAACCUGAACUGCUUUGGUUUGACCUGGCUCCAAGUGAUUUGUGAACAUCUCUGGUCACUUGAAUAUUGCCUGACAGGAGAUUAAAUUCAUAAAAUUCUGUCACCAACCUAUGAAGGAGGCCCAAUUAGGCAGCAUCACCAUCUUUCCAAGAUGAAGUUUGUUGGUCUUACGGCCUCAAUAUAUGAUAUGCUGGUUUUUGGCUCAGUAAUUGAAUAGCAGUGGAGUUUGAGAGUGAUUUGUGUGUAACGUGUGGGGAGCUAACCGAAACAGUGAGCCACUUAUUUUAGUUGUAAAUAUGCAAUUCAAGUAUGGAAUUUGUGUAAUAAGUGGACUGGGAUAACCUCUGUUUCACAUAAUCAGGCAGAAAAGCACUUCAACCAUUUUUUUGUACUUUACAGCUUAACACCAAAGGUAACACAGUGUGGAAGUGCAUGUGGAUAGCAAUCAUAGAGGUAUAUGGAAUAUGAGAAACAGAAUUAUCUUAAAAAUGCAAGAGUGGAUGGGGAAGAAAUUUUUAAGUUGCCACAAAUUAAAGUGUGGGCAUGGGUGAUGUAUAGGUUCAAGAAGGCAACUUUUUCCUUUUCAGAUUGGAUUUUGUGCCCUUUAAUAUGCAUCAAGUAUAUUCAAUAAUCCUACAGUGGUAACUGUGUGCAGGUGAAUUUGAAAGACAAUAAUGCUUAAGGGUGUAAUAUAAUAUGGCUAUAGGUGGAGCCUUAAGAUCAUGACAAAAUAGGUGCACACACCUUGGUGGGAAGCAAAGGACCUUAGAGUGAACAUUAUGUAUAAGAGACGACCAUAGGUUCCCUGUGCAACAAUCUAAAUCAUGAGAUGGGUAGUUAAACAUAGCACAUUUGUAAACUUUUGGGGAUGACCAAACACCCUUAAGGGCAGGGGACUAUAUCUUCCAGUGGUUUGUUUUUUUAUUCUAGUAGUUGUGUUUUGCAGGUUAAGAAAAUCCACUAGGUCAUAGUGCAGUACCUUUGAUGCUAAGGAGAAAAAUAUCAAGAGCAGGUUGGGAAUACUCUGGAAAAGCUGCUAGAUAGGGGAGGUAACGUCUCCCAAGGGAACAGAGAAGAUAAUUGUAAGUGGGUUAGAGUACCUGCCAUUAUUGCCCCAUUUUGUAUUCUGUGAUCUUAAGAUGAUGCAAAGACAAGCAAUUGCCCUACUUUAUGUAUGGGGUAAAAUUGAGAAAGGAAAAUGGAAUAAAAAGUUAGGUUUUUCCCAAUGAAGAUUUUUAAGUGGGCGAAAUCACAUGGUGAUGGAUGGGAUGAAGUAAUUUCUACCUUUUCUUUUCUUUCUUUUCUAUUGUUUGUUUAACAAUUCAAACAACCAAAAUAAACAAUCUCAUCCUCUUACAAAAUGGAAACUGUGUUCCUAGAAUCCAUUUAUAGAUAAAAGAAACCUUACAUCAAAUACAUAUUAAAUUUCUAUAACAGGAGAUCUUAUCCAUUGAAAUGAAUGGGAACAACACAACAUAAUUUUAAGUCCAUUAUAACUGACUUGGCUAGGCCAAAAUCCGCUUGUGUAAAAACUUAAAAACCUUUCACAUCCGUUCUAAAGAAAUUGAUGCUUCUCCUCGGCCCUAUAAAAAUACUAAUAUCUCCGCCCCUUCCCUGCCUUGCCCAGAUUGCGAAGCACUUGGUUUUUUUAUGCUGUGGAACUUAUCAGAUUGCAAAGCACUUGGUUUUCUUAGGCUGUGGAACUUAUGAGAAUAUAUAGUGAUGUAUACCAUUCGAUGGCAGGGAGAAGUAAACAUUGUAAUAGAUAAGUAGAAAGACGUAGCAUUUGAAUUUGUUAUCAUUACUCAAAAAUUUGGUAGUAAUAGUUACAAGUUCGAGAAGAUGCCUAUUGUACAAAAUGUCUCUAAUAAUCUAUGUCAGUCUCCUAAAGUGAGAUCUAUUGUUCCUUGAAGAAAGAAAUUGUAUAUUGGAAGACAUCUUCACUGCAAGGAAUUGUGAUGCCACCCAUGGGAUGAUCAUAUCCAAACUCUUCCUCUGCUCGACUCAGUAAGUCUUGGAAUGAAGGUUGGUUCAAGUAUGAGAUGGGAAUCACAAACCGAUUUUGUUUCUCUCCAACGUACACGGCAAAAUAGCCCUUUGGUAUGUCUUCAGAUUUUGAAGUUGCUUGUCUUGCUGUGAAUGAUGCCCGUCGGAUGGCAGGUAAACGGAAACCCAUUUUUGGAGUUUGUUUGAAGGAAGAAGAACAAUCUCAAAUUUACAGAGAGUGAACCCAAAUUUUGAUGCUUGUGGCUUGUUUUGUUUUUGAAGGUAUAGGAUUGUGUAUAUAUAGCUGUUAAAAGAAGGAGGGCAUACAGAUGAGAUAUCGCGUGGUGUUGUCUUCAGUACUUCUAUGAAGCAGAAUGAAGGGUACAGGUGUG
rnacentral:lncRNA from 1 species